rnacentral:rRNA from 1 species
GAUGAACGCUGGCGGCGUGCCUAAUACAUGCAAGUCGAGCGAACGGACGAGAAGCUUGCUUCUCUGAUGUUAGCGGCGGACGGGUGAGUAACACGUGGAUAACCUACCUAUAAGACUUGGAUAACUUCGGGAAACCGUAGCUAAUACCGGAUAAUAUUUUGAACCGCAUGGUUCAAGAGUGAAAGACGGUCUUGCUGUCACUUAUAGAUGGAUCCGCGCUGCAUUAGCUAGUUGGUAAGGUAACGGCUUACCAAGGCAACGAUGCAUAGCCGACCUGAGAGGGUGAUCGGCCACACUGGAACUGAGACACGGUCCAGACUCCUAAGGGAGGCAGCAGUAGGGAAUCUUCCGCAAUGGGCGAAAGCCUGACGGAGCAACGCCGAGUGAGUGAUGAAGGUCUUCGGAUCGUAAAACUCUGUUAUUAGGGAAGAACAUAUGUGUAAGUAACUGUGCACAUCUUGACGGUACCUAAUCAGAAAGCCACGGCUAACUACGUG